GCUGGGCACAGUGACAUGUGCCUAUAGUCCCAGUUAGCUGGGAGGCUGAGGUGGGAGGAUUGCUUGAGCCCAGGAUUUCAAGGCUGCAGUGAGCUAUGAUUGCACCACUGCACUCCAGCCUGAGCAACAGAGCAAGACUCGAUCUCAU
rnacentral:SRP_RNA from 1 species